AGCAGCCGCCGCGGGAAUACGUAGGUGGCAAGCGUUGUCCGGAAUUAUUGGGCGUAAAGGGCUCGCAGGCGGUUUCUUAAGUCUGAUGUGAAAGCCCCCGGCUCAACCGGGGAGGGUCAUUGGAAACUGGGAAACUUGAGUGCAGAAGAGGAGAGUGGAAUUCCACGUGUAGCGGUGAAAUGCGUAGAGAUGUGGAGGAACACCAGUGGCGGAGGCGACUCUCUGGUCUGUAACUGACGCUGAGGAGCGAAAGCGUGGGGAGCGAACAGGAUUAGAUACCCCCGUAGUCCCUGUCUCUUAUAC
rnacentral:rRNA from 1 species